rnacentral:rRNA from 1 species
UACGUAGGGUGCAAGCGUUGUCCGGAAUCAUUGGGCGUAAAGAGCUCGUAGGCGGCUUAGUUAGUCGGGUGUGAAACCCCCAGCUCAACCUGGGGACGCCACUCGAUACUGCUAUAGCUAGAGUCCAGUAGGGGAGUGUGGAAUUCCCGGUGUAGCGGUGAAAUGCGCAGAUAUCAGGAGGAACACCGGUGGCGAAGGCGGGUCUCUGGGCCGAUAUUGACGCUGAGGAGCGAAAGCGUGGGGAGCGAACAGG